rnacentral:rRNA from 1 species
AUUGAACGCUGGCGGCAUGCCUUACACAUGCAAGUCGAACGGUAACAGGUCUUCGGAUGCUGACGAGUGGCGAACGGGUGAGUAAUACAUCGGAACGUGCCUAGUAGUGGGGGAUAACUACUCGAAAGAGUGGCUAAUACCGCAUGAGAUCUACGGAUGAAAGCAGGGGAUCGCAAGACCUUGUGCUACUAGAGCGGCCGAUGGCAGAUUAGGUAGUUGGUGGGAUAAAAGCUUACCAAGCCGACGAUCUGUAGCUGGUCUGAGAGGACGAUCAGCCAGACUGGGACGGGGAAACGGCCCAGACUCCUACGGGAGGCAGCAGUGGGGAAUUUUGGAAAAUGGGCGAAAGCCUGGUCCAGCAAUGCCGCGUGCAGGAUGAAGGCCUUCGGGUUGUAAACUGCUUUUGUACGGAACGAAAAGCCCCGGGUUAAUACCCUGGGGUCAUGACGGUACCGUAAGAAUAAGCACCGGCUAACUACGUGCCAGCCGCCGCCGUAA